CUCAUUUUUCGUGUUUCUCUCUCUAAAAGAAAAUAUACAUAAAUAGAAUGAUUUCUUUCACCAUUUUCACUUUUAAAACUCGGCUUAAAUCACGCAUCGGUUACCCUUUUGAAUACAACUGUACUUGGCUCCAACUUACAGCAAUAAAUUUUAUCUUAAUCUUCAUUAAUCAUUCUGAUUUGUACGUUUUAAGGUUAGUAAUUUUUCUUCAUCAUUUACAGAACUGAUUUUCGUGGAUUUUUGAAUGAAAAAAUUGUUGCAUGUUUUUAUUAAGUAUUUUUUGGGGUUUCUUCUUUACUAAAAUUUUUAAAAUUGUCCAUUUGAAGUAGUAUAUUAACAACUUAGCACUUUGUUAAUGGAGCAUUCUCCUUAAUUCAAUUUUGGGGUUUUUCGAAAGAACAAAUUGUUGCAUGUUCUUAUUAAGUAUUUUUUGGGGGUUUUAAUUUAACAAAAUUUGAUUGUUAUAUCAUUAUUUUUCCUUUUUGUUUCAAAAUCGUCCAUUUGAAGUAGAAAUAAACAUAUUUGUACUUUGUUAAUGGAGGAUUCUCCCUUUUUAAGCUUAAAAUUAACUUAGUUAGAUACAAAUUCGGUAGUUUUUGUUACCGGAGUUUUGGACUAUGAGAAAUCUAACUUUGUUGAAAACAGAUCUAAAUUUCGUAACGACCCCUAUAAGAUGAAAGAGCUUAGAAAAGCUGCUACUGAAAAGUUGAAAAAAGCAGUUGAAAAAUCAUCAAGAUUAUCCAAAAAAGAUGAUUCAGGACGUCCACGUCUUCCUAAGGUGUUGGAAUCAAAGUUAAGUACGAGAAUUUUAUGGCUGAUAUGUUCAGCAAGUUUGUAUACAAUAAUAUAUGACCAACUCAUGAAGAAGUACAAAGUCUUGGUUUGCAAAUGAUUGAGGAUUUCAAUUAAAAGAAGCUGAAUGUGAAUUUCCUCCAGAAAUUAUUGUCGAUUGUUCCGAUGAAAAAUCUGUUGUCAACGUACAGUCACAAGUAGACCUCGAUAUACAAGGUUUUAAGGAAUUUAGUAUAGUCCCUCCUACAGAAAUUCUCAAAAGGCAGGGUUGAUUACUGAUUCUUCAAAAUCUCAUCCUACUAAGAAGCAUAAAAUAGUCCGUUUUAGUUCCACAACUGUCGAGAAGCAAGUUUGUCAGAAAACACCAUCUUUUGUUUCAACAAGAACUGUGUCAACCCAUAAAACAACUUCUUCAGAUUUGGAGCAUGUUCAUGUCGAAAAGACAACUCCAUCAUUGCCACUCAAGUUAAUUUGUCAGGACAAUUCUGAUGAAAAGUGGGAUGAUAUAAAGUUAUUUUUGUAGUCCUAUGUUGACACAAAAAUCAACUUUCUUCAUGAUCUAAUAGUCAAACAACAUCAAGACUCAAAUGAAAAAAUGGAUAAACAACAUGUCGAACUCAUCCAAAUAUUGAAACAGAACAACCAAAAA